CCGCAGAGGGAGUGACGGCCGGUGCGUGGGUCGCGGGCGGCCGCGUGGUUCCACGAGCUCCGAAGCGGCAGAACGAGCGGAGCCGCCCGCGAGAACGUGCCCGUGGCCUCCCGACGCGUGACCGGGGAGCACGGUGAGAUCGUCUCGCCGAGCUUCCGGGUUGGGCCGGCCGGGCCAGCUCCCGAGCCAGGUGCCGAGCCUGGGUUGGAGGCCGGGAGGGUGCGCCUUGUAAGUCGUCCAGAAACGGCAUCGAGUCAACGGGGACCACAGGCUGCGGCCGCAGAGCGAUCUGGACAGGACGUGAGCUGUGAUGAAGGACGGACGCCCGCAGCAAGGCCGUCCCAUCGAACAUUCUCGCUACAGAGUCCCNCAAGGCCCCCCCCCCCCCCCCGAACCCAUCGUCCCAGGCUCGGCCGCACACCACCACCACCCCACAUCCUGGAGAGUGAAAAUGCUCAGUAUGGGGCGGGGAGGAGCGCGCGCUGCUGCCACCGUGAGAAGAGCUUCUUUCAUGGCCAUGAAAACACUUCCUCCGGGUAGUCUGCUAGUCCCAGAGGAAUGAGAAUGAAGCAGACAAAAGCAAAUACACAGCUUGGAGUCAAGCCUCGCCAAGCCCAGCUGAGAUCUGCAGAGCCAUUCUAGCCACGUCAUGAUCGUUGAAAUAAAUGCUUACUGUUGUGUGUCA
ensembl:lncRNA